rnacentral:rRNA from 1 species
AAUUGGAGGGCAAGUCUGGUGCCAGCAGCCGCGGUAAUUCCAGCUCCAAUAGCGUAUAUUAAAGUUGUUGCAGUUAAAAAGCUCGUAGUUGAAUUUCGGGAUCAAUAUUUCGGUCAUGCCGUUGGUAUGCACUGUUAUCAUUGAUUUCUCACCUUCUAAAGAACCGUAAUGCCAUUAAUUUGGUGUUACGGGGAAUUAGGACUGUUACCUUGAAAAAAUUAGAGCGUUUAAAGCAGGCUCACGCUUGAAUACAUUAGCAUGGAAUAAUGAAAUAGGACAUCCGAUUCUAUUUUGUUGGUUUCUAGGAUCGAUGUAAUGAUUAAUAGGGAUAGUUGGGGGCAUUAGUAUUCAAUUGUCAGAGGUGAAAUUCUUGGAUUUAUUGAAGACUAACUACUGCGAAAGCAUUUGCCAAGGAUGUUUUCAUUAAUCAAGAACGAAAGUUAGGGGAUCGAAGACGAUCAGAUACCGUCGUAGUCUUAACCAUAAACUAUGCCGACUAGGGAUCGGAUGAUGUUAAUUUUUUAAUGACUCAUUCGGCGCCUUACGGGAAACCAAAGUGU